CUACGGGAUGCUCCAGUGGGGAAUAUUGCACAAUGGAGGAAACUCUGAUGCAGCAACGCCGCGUGGAGGAUGACACUUUUCGGAGCGUAAACUCCUUUUAUAUAGGAAGAAGAUGACGGUACUAUAUGAAUAAGCGCCGGCUAACUCCGUGCCAGCAGCCGCGGUAAUACGGAGGGCGCAAGCGUUACUCGGAAUCACUGGGCGUAAAGAGCGUGUAGGCGGAUUAAAAAGUCAGAAGUGAAAUCCUAUAGCUUAACUAUAGAACUGCUUCUGAAACUCUUAAUCUAGAAUAUGGGAGAGGUAGAUGGAAUUUCUGGUGUAGGGGUAAGAUCCGUAGAGAUCAGAAGGAAUACCGAUUGCGAAGGCGAUCUACUAGAACAUUAUUGACGCUGAGACGCGAAAGCGUGGGGAGCAAACAGGAUUAGAUACCCGGGUAGUC
rnacentral:rRNA from 1 species